UCCCCCCCCAGCAGAGGUGUUCCCACCCCAGCCCCUCCUGGCAGGGAACGUUUCCUGUUCCCCCUCAGCUCCAAACCCCUCACACCAACAAAAGGAGCCCUGAAAGUCCUUAAAAUCCCCUUUCCAUUUUGGAACAAUUAAUGUCACCUGGUUUAAAUAAAUCCCUUAAUUAGGAAUUAUCCUUUUUCCCAUCGGCCUUGGCACAGCCUGGGGUUGGAGGUUGAGUGAGCGCUGCACAUUUUUCAUCUCCAAGCGCGUUUGGAGGACGCUGGGUGAGCUCGUGUCCUCCCUGAUUAUGCACAGGGCUGGGAUUUGCAUAGAGAAGUCAAAUUUAAUUCCUUUUUUCUUUUUUUGGGAAGGUUUCCUGGCGGAAUGGAAUUGCACAGACAGCACUGAAGGACUUGGGAAGGAGAGGAGAGAAAGUGAAACAGGACUGGGAGAGGCGGGGCUGCCUCAGGCCAUCCCGGCAGCGCAGAGUGAGCGCCCCACCACACCCAGAAUUUUGGGGGACGUGGGAUUUGAAGGGAAUGUUAAGAAGGGAUGAAGGCUCAGGAAAUGAAGUGGGAAUGUGCAGUUCCUGCCUCGCUGUUGGACAGGAGCUGGGCUGAGCCUGCAGCUCUGGAUGCGGAUUCUGGAUCCGAGUUUGAGAUGUUCUGGAUCCGGGUUUGAGAUGUUCUGGAUCCGAAUUUGAAAUGUUCUGGACCCGAAUUUGAGAUGUUCUGGAUCCAAAUUUGAGAUGUUCUGGAUCUGAAUUUGAGAUGUUCUGGAUGUGAAUUUGAGAUGUUCUGGAGCCGAGUUUGAGAUGUUCUGGAUCCGAGUUUGAGAUGUUCUGGACCCGAAUUUGAGGUGUUCUGGAUCCAAAUUCGAGAUGUUCUGGAUCCGAAUUUGAGAUGUUCUGGACCCGAAUUCGAGAUGUUCUGGAGCUGAAUCUGGAUUUGAGGGCUUGGCCCUGUGCGGAAACUCCAUCUGAACUCCUUCAGAACCCCAUAAAAAAGGUGGGAAUGUUCUAUCCAGUGCUCCAAAGGUUUAUCCCAACCAGUUCUCUCCACAUGAGCCAUCAGACAGCACAGCUGACAGGAACGGGUUGUGCUGGAGCUGGAGCCCUUUGCAAUCCCUCAGUCCCACGACAUUCCCGGGUGAACAGGACAUGGAAAUGUUCCUUUUCCUCAUCUUCAAUAAAUAUAAAUAAUUAAAGCCUGGCUUUGACUGAAGCUCGUUCUGCUUUAAAAGCUGCUCUUUGCUCCCAUUUUGUUUUUUCCUGGUGAGCUUCCCAAAAACCAGCAAAGCUGAGACAGGAGGAUUUGGGAAUCAGCAGAGUGUUUGGAGAACAUUCCAGAAGUAAGGCAGAAUCUGCUAAUUAGUGCUGUAUGCACAGGGAGUUGGAUGCUCUUGGCUCUUCCCACUGGAGCACACCUGGAACUUUUGGAGGCUCAACAGCAUUUCCUUUCCACUGGAUGUGAUAUUUCCCAUCCCGAUUCUGCCUGAGGACGUUCAUAUCCACGAGAAAACCUCUCCUUUGCUCCCCGCAGUGGGGUUUACGUGGAUUUCUCAUGCCUGAACUCAUCCACCUUUCCCUACAACCUCAUGGCAGGAGUUUCACAUCCUGCUUCUGUCCAGGGACGUUCAUAUCCAUGGACAAAUCUCUCCUUUGCUCCCCUAAAGUGGUUUUAAUGUGGAUUUCUCCUCCCUGAACUCAUCCACCCUUCCCUACGAACUCAAGGAGAAGCCUCUCCUUUUCUCCCCUAAUGUGGAUUUUAUGAGGAUUUAUCUUCUCUGAACUUGUCCAUCCUUCCCUACAAACUCCUGGCAUCCUCUGGAAGGAGUUUCCCAUCCCGAUUCUGCCUGAGGACGUUCAUAACCAUGAGAAAACCUCUCCUUUGCUCCCCACAGUGGGUUUUACGUGGAUUUCUCAUGCCUGAACUCAUCCAUCCUUCCCUGCAAGCUCAUGGCAGGAGUUUCACAUCCCGGUUCUGUCCAAGGACGUUCAUAUCCAUGAGAAAACCUCUCCUUUACUCCUUCCUCCCGUACUUUGAUGACCUCUGGCUCUCCCUUUGGAUCAGGCACUGAAUUACCAAUUCCUGGGCGGUUUUCCCAUGUUUUUCCCAAUCCUUGCUGGGCAGCAGGACGGAUGUCCUUGGUGUGAAGGGGGCUCAGGGGUGGGAAUAAUGGGAUCAAGGCCUGUCCCUGGGCAAAGCCCGAUCAUUCUGUGAGGGUUCAUCAGAAAUUCCACAAGAAUCAGGGCUGGAAUUGUCCCUGAGACAUCCUGGAAUGGCCAGAGCAGCAGGAAUGCGCUCCUGCCCCGCGGGCAGCCAGAGGAGGUGUUAAUUCUCUCCUCAAACAGGUUUAUUAUGGAACAAGAUGUCCCAAAGCCCCUUCCAGGCAUCCACAGGGACCGGCACAAACCCCGACACAAAUCCCAACACAAAUCCCUCUUUGUGUGACCAGGAGCUGCUUUUCCAAAAUAUCCCCCCCAGGAGCCCCUAUCCCUGGGAAUGUGUUCUUGGACCUCUCUUUGCAUUUCUAGGAGCUUUUCCUGGUGCCACAAAUCCCUCUGGGAGCACAGCUGGGAUCUGCCGGGAUCAGAGUCGGAGGCACCAUGGAGGAAAAGCCACACUGAGGUUCCAUUCAUCCUGCUCCAGAGGCCUGGGAAUGUGCAGGAUUUUAGGGAAAGGACGUUGUUUUCCUUCCAGAGGCUGCUGAUAAACACUGGCAGCUCAUUGCCAGGGCUGAGCCAGCAAAGAGCUGGCACCUCUGGAUGUGCGGCAGGAAAGCUUUGGGAUCUGAGGGAAAAGGCUUGGGGGAAAGCUGGGAAAGCCGGAGUGGCUGGGAAAGGGCUGGAAUUACAUCCCAGACAGGGAUGGGACACGGGGAGAAGCCACUCAAGGGUUUGUGGUGGCCACGAAGGUUUGGCUGGUACAGUCAGAGCACAAAUAAAAUCGGAACAUUCCUGGA